AAUCAAUGAACUUGUAAAAGUAUAUAUUUUGAAAAUAUAAAAAAGAAUAAAAAUUCUAUUGAUUU
rnacentral:tRNA from 1 species